UACAGGGAGCAAGGAGAGGGAGCUAUGAAAAAAAUGUUUAGAAGGUCAGUCUUUUGCUUAUCCAUAACUAGAGUGGGUAAAAUAUAUCCACUCUGAACUGACCCCUGCCAUAAUAGCUGUAUUCUCUUCUUUAUAGGUGAUGCUAAAGGUGAUAGGAAUUCUGAACAGACUCUCCAGAGAAAAUUCAGAGCAGCAAACUAAGAGUGUUACUGGAUUACCAAGAUGCUUCAUUGCAAUAAAAGAUCAAUAAGAAGCAGCAGAAAAUGGGAACUUUACUAAAUCAGGUCUGAACAGAGCUCUUGGAUCCUGGAGAAAGCUGAUGAGAGAUGUCAUUCCACUGACAGAGAAGGAAGAGGAGUAAUAGUAUUCACAUGGAAAUGAAGUGAAGCAAGCCCUGGAAAAUGCUUCACAACAAGAGGAAAAAUUGAGGAAUUAGGAGUGCUUGAAAGAGUGCUUUGUAGUACAGACACUUGUGGGAUGGGAAGAAAAUACUAAACAGUUCUAUAUGAUGACCUCCAAUUUUCUCAAUGAAACAAGACAGCUUUCUCCCUCAUCUCAGUGGAGACAUGGAGAAAGGCCCUGCUUUGCUGCAGGAGUUCUGAAACCAAAAUCAGCUGGUGCCUCUGUACCAACUGUGAUCAUCUCUGUACUAUCAAUGAGCUUGGCUUGCAGGAGCACUUAUUGAAUCAGACACGAGGAUUGAUGCACAGCAGAGCCUCUGGGUGAUGCUGUGGUGGAAACAUUUCACAGACACAAAUCUCUGGGCUUUGUCUGGCCCACAGCAAUGCAG